GCAGUGGAGCUAGGGAGGCCGACCGCCUCUUGCCUGGGGUGAAAAUAUUGGCUGAUGUGAAUGCUUUAGGAAGCAAUUCAGGAGUCUCUUUCAAAGUCAGGCAUACCAUAGACUGCAUGAGCAGGUAAUCCUUCUCCAGGGUGUUUAGUUAGAGCAUUGGAUGCGUGUGUCAUAGGAAGACUCCUGCACUAAUGCCCACAGCAGCUUUGAUUGUAAUUGUUCAGAGUUGGAAAACCCAGACACCCCACAACUUAUGGCUGUCUGUAUACAUGCUCAGUGGCAUGCCUAUUAGAGAGAAUGCAGUACUGCCCAGAGAACAGAAACGACCAGACUUUGAUACAUACAGCAAAGACCAAAGGAGAACACAUGCUAUAUGGUUCCACUUUGAUAAAAUUCUUUACCAUGCAAAUUGACCUAAGUGACUGAAGUCAGUUGCUGCCUUGGAGGCCAGUGGGAGCCAGAGGUGCAGAAGUGGGUAAUUACAAAGGACACAAGGAAACUCUAGGGUGAGGGCUUUGGUCCCUAUUUUGAUUGUGAUGUUGCAUGGCUGUAUACACCUGUCAGACGUACCAAGCUCAGUCCUUUGUAGACCAGCCAUGCCUCAUUAAAGGGGAGGAUGGUAGCUGCUUAGCUGCUCAUUGUUAGGGAUUAACUCAGUGAAUUCCAGAAGGCUACAGAACAGAACAUUAUGCAACUGAGUUUUAAAAGGAAGUUAAUCUGUGUGUCCAAUAUAAAAUGAUCCCACAAAUAAAUUAAUAAUUGUGAAAUACAAGGUGCAAAAUAAUGUAUGUUGAGCCAUGCAUGUUAGCCAGGGUUUAAAAGGCUGAAGCAAGAGGCUCACAAGUUCAAAGCCAUCCUAUGCUACAUAGCCUCUCUCAAAACAAAGCAUUAUAUAUUAACCUUUAAGUAAAAAUGAGUUUGUAUGUAUAUGUGUAACACACACACACACACACACAUAUAUAUAUAUGUGUAUAUAUAUAUAUAUAUACACACACACACACAUAUAUAUAUAUAUAUAUAUAUAUAUAUUGUAUUGCAUAUACAUAGCAGUGUGUGUAAGGGAUACAUUUAUAUCUAAGAGUAGGAUUCUGCCCCCCUUAGAUUAGGGUGUUCCAUUCACUUUGUUGAUUUUUUUUUUUCCUGAUAUGCUAAGAAUCAAGUACAAGGGCUUGCCUGCCAGACAGGAGCUCUGCCACUAACCUAUACCCUCAACAUGAGGUUAGUUGUAUAUAUUUGUAAAUUAUACACACAUGUAUAUGCCACAUCCAUAUAUGUGUGUGUAUGUAUGUUCUUUUGUACAUGCAAAAAGAAAACUGAUUACAAAGGUACAGAAAGAGGAAAAAAGAAGAGAAAGCAAAAUGGCAGUUUUCCAUUUAAUUGUAACUGUCAAUUGAAAAAAUAUAUAAUUGACGUAUAAGCCAGGUCUGAGAGAUGGCUCCACCAUUAAGAGCACCCAUAUUGUAUCCCAUGGCUGCCUUUAACUCCAGGUCCACCCACAAACACAUGGCAUACAUAGACACAUACAUGUGAAAAACUUUUUUUAGACAAAUAGAAUUGAUUUUGUUGAGCAAACUUGGAGUUCCAGCAUUGGGGAGGCUAAAGCAGGAGGGUCUGAACUUUGAGGCUAGCCUAGGCUAGACACUAGCUCCACAAUAAAUAAAUAAACAAACAAACAAAUAACUGUCCAAGAACACAUUGACAUACACAAGAAACUAUCGUAAGUAUGAGUGAGGUUUUUCUACAUUUCUAGAAACUCCUGGACUGGGAGGGUAACUGGCCUCCACCAGCUUAGUAUGUGCAAGGCCUUUGUUCAGUCUCCACAACCAUAAAAGAGCAAAGGUGUUUGCUUUAAUGGAACUUAACCUUUGAGAGAAUCACACUGGCCAUUUUCCACAUUACAGUCUAUGGGCACAUUUAAGUGGAGACACUGUGGUGGGUAGUGAUGGCAUAUGCCUUUAGUCUUGGCACCUGGGAGCAGAGGCAGGUAGAGUGAGUUCAAGGCCAGCCUAGCCUACCGAGGCCACUCCAGGGCAGCCAAAGCUACACAGAGAAACCCUAGCUCAAAAAACCAAGUUUAAAAAGGG
rnacentral:lncRNA from 1 species